rnacentral:rRNA from 1 species
UCCUACGGGAGGCAGCAGUGGGGAAUAUUGCACAAUGGGCGCAAGCCUGAUGCAGCCAUGCCGCGUGUGUGAAGAAGGCCUUCGGGUUGUAAAGCACUUUCAGUAAGGAGGAAAGGUUAAGUGUUAAUAGCACUUAGCUGUGACGUUACUUACAGAAGAAGCACCGGCUAACUCCGUGCCAGCAGCCGCGGUAAU